rnacentral:rRNA from 1 species
CACUGCAGACGGCUCAGUAACACGUGGUCAAGCUAACCUAUGGACGUGGAUAACCUCGGGAAACUGAGAAUAAACCGCGAUGGAUCAUGACGCCUGGAAUGGCUUAUGGUCGAAAUAGUUUACUGCCAUAGGAUGCGACUGCGGCCUAUCAGUUAGUUGGUGAGGUAAUGGCCCACCAAGACUAUUACAGGUACGGGCUCUGAGAGGAGAAGCCCGGAGAUGGGUACUGAGACACGGACCCAGGCCCUAUGGGGCGCAGCAGGCGAGAAACCUUAGCAAUGUGCGAAAGCACGACUGGGUUAGUCCGAGUGAUUCCUGCUAAAGGAAUCUUUUGCCGGUCCUAAAAGCACCGGUGAAUAAGGGGUGGGCAAGUCUGGUGUCAGCCGCCGCGGUAAUACCAGCACCUCGAGUGAUCAGGACGUUUAUUGGGCCUAAAGCAUCCGUAGCUGGCUUUGCAAGUCUCCGGUUAAAUCAACCUGCUCAACAGAUUGGCCGCUGGAGAUACUACAAGGCUAGGGAGUGGGAGAGGCAGACGGUAUUC